rnacentral:rRNA from 1 species
CACGUAGAGCGCAAGCGUUGUCCGGAAUUAUUGGGCGUAAAGAGCUCGUAGGUGGUUUGUCGCGUUGUUCGUGAAAACUCACAACUCAAUUGUGGGCGUGCGGGCGAUACGGGCAGACUGGAGUACUGCAGGGGAGACUGGAAUUCCUGGUGUAGCGGUGGAAUGCGCAGAUAUCAGGAAGAACACCAAUGGCGAAAGCAGCUCUCUGGGACGGUACUGACGCUGAGACGCGAAAGCGUGGGGAGCGAACAGG